rnacentral:rRNA from 1 species
GAUGAACGCUAGCGGCAGGCCUAAUACAUGCAAGCCGAACGGCAAGUUUGAUAGCAAUAUUUGACCUAGAGUGGCGCAAGUGUGCGUAACACGUAUGCAACCUGCCCGCGACAGGAGGAUAGCGCCCCGAAAGGGGAAUUAACGCUCCAUAACACCGUGAGAAGGGCAGUGAUUAUGGUUAGACGGCAAGGGGUCGCGGAGGGGCAUGCGGUGGAUUAGCUAGUUGGCGGGGUAAAGGCGCACCAAGGGGGUGAUCAAGAGGGGUUCGGAGAGGGAGGUCCCCCACACUGGCACUGAGAUACGGGCCAGACUCCUACGGGAGGCAGCAGUAGGGAAUAUUGGACAAUGGUUGCAAGACUGAUGCAGCGAGGCCGCGUGGAGGAAGACGGCCUUCUGGGUCGUAACCUGCUUUGUCCUGGGGAUAAAAGACCGGCGCGAGGGGAAUUGAAGGUAACAGGAGAAUAAGCCACGGCUAACUACGUG